CAGUUCAGCGAUAUUUGAGAAAGAGAGGAAAGCUCCACACUACUCUCUCACUUGAGUAUCUCACCUAGUUAUUUUCAGAUUCUCAUUUUGCUCUUUUGUAGGUGUGUCAACCUUGUGUGCUCCCCACCCCUUUGCUGCAACCCUUCGUAGUGUACCCUGAGCACACAACCUGUGUGGAAUAUCUGGUCUCCAAUAACGUUUUGGAACUACCGAUCAUGUUUGCCUGACGGAGACAUGGAUUACCCCAGAGAACACUGACACUCAAGCUGAUCUCUGAUGAAAUCUUGCGACUCUUGAUGUCCAGCUGCCUGUCAAACCUGCCCGUUCGACCCCACCCUCUCCUCACUUCUCCAGACAAUCUCUGGAGACCUUCUCCCAAUCCUCAUCGCCCUCAACUCAUCCCUGACCACUGACUGAGUGCCCUCUGACUUCAAGAUGGCCAGAGUCACUCCCUUCCUCGAGACCAACACUUGACCCCUCUGAUGUCAAACUACAGUCAGAUCUAUCCUCUGCGUUUGAGAAUGUGAAUCAUCAGAUGCUCUUCUCCUCCUCUCCACCUUCUCAGGGCUGGGCGACUCAGCCUCUCCACACCCUCUCCUCUUUUUCUAUACAAAGUCA